rnacentral:lncRNA from 1 species
GUUCCCAUGCAGAGACCGAUGCCUCUGGUUUCUACUGUGACAUCACCAGCAGGAAGAGAGUCUGAUGUCAUCUGCUGUGGGGCAGGAAUUAAGCUUGAUUCCUGAGGCUGCAGAACCCCCUGUGGAUGGUGAAGGGCUGUUGGCACAGAGCAGAGGCUGUGGAGGAUCCACCUGGGCAGAGGGCACCCUCAGAAGGAGAGCUAAGUGAGAACCCUCAGCACCCCAUGCUGUGCCCUGGGGAGCAACACUAAAAAGAGGAGGAUGGGGUCCCAGCCUUGAGCAGCUGCAGAACCACCUGUGGGAGAGGCCUGGAGAGCAGGGAGGUGGGAAGGAAAUUCAGCCAGCUCAAGUGUGUUCAGGGAGCAGGGGACUCACCAGAGGGCAGCCUCCAGGGAGCACUGAGAGUGCAGGGGCCUCCCACAGGGAAAAGGCACUAGGAAUGGAGUGAAUGUGAGAACAUAUUCACCAUCAGUCCAGCCUUUUAUACACCAGAUAGAUCCUACUGGAACAAGAUAUCAGGGGUGUAGUAAAAGUCAAAAAUCUUUAGAAGAAAUGCCAAACACAUUGCACACCUAAGAGUCAACAUUGGAGAAAAGCCUUUCACAUGCAGUGAAUGUGGAGAUGGUUUUAGGCAAAUUCCACACCUGCUCAGCAUCACAGGCUCCUUGGUACAGAAAGUAUUUUUGUGUGUGUGCAAUGAUUAUGGUAAGGUCUAUAGCCACAAGUCCAGUCUGAUUUUUCAUGUGUUCUCACCCUAGUCAGGGUGGUGAGUCAGCCUGCCCACACUACAAUCUCCAGGCACGUGACUGAAGAGUAACUAACCCAUUUUAACAGCCAUGGUAAACUCAGUGCUAGAACUCUUCAGAAAAGUCCUGGCAAGCUGCAAACUGAAGGGCAGAGCACAGUAAGUGAGCCACACCUGUCAGGUGGGCCUGGGAUGCCUGGACAGAUAAAGGAGCAGUUCACUGUGAUUCUUUCCUCAGCACAACAGAGGCCAACAUUACGAGGGUAUCUGCACAAGCACAGAACAUAUCACUGGAUGAAAUCCAGCACUUUCUAAGAUCAAAGCAACAUGAAAGUUACACAGGAGGAACACAA